CUGGGUGGAGCCGAAGAGGACGAGGCAUCAGUUUGUGGUACUGAUUUCAGCGGGUUCGAGUCCCGUCACCCAGCC
rnacentral:tRNA from 1 species